UACGGAGGAUGCGAGCGUUAUCCGGAUUUAUUGGGUUUAAAGGGUGCGUAGGCGGGCUGUUAAGUCAGCGGUCAAAUGUCGGGGCUCAACCCCGGCCUGCCGUUGAAACUGGCGGCCUCGAGUGGGCGAGAAGUAUGCGGAAUGCGUGGUGUAGCGGUGAAAUGCUUAGAUAUAACUUAGAACUCCGAUAGCGAAGGCAGCUUACCAGACUGCGACUGACGCUGAAGCACGAGAGCGUGGGUAGCGAACAGG
rnacentral:rRNA from 1 species